rnacentral:pre_miRNA from 1 species
GAUUUCAACUGAAAAAGUCAUCAAUAUCAAAGUUGUAUAACUCAUCAAGGUAUAUAACUUUUAUUUGGGUCAUUUCUUCAUCCGGCAAAGCAACUUGUAAUAUUGUUCACAAAAUGUACAUAUCUCUCUAAUAGUUUAUAACUUUUAUUUGGGUCAUUUCUUCAUCCAGCAAAGCGACUUGUAACAUUGUUCAUAAAAUAUAUAUAUCUCUCUAAUAUUAUAUAAACUAUUAGAGAGAUAUGUACAUUUUGUGAACAAUGUUACAAGUCACUUUGCCGGAUGAAGAAAUGACCCAAAUAAAAGUUAUAUACCUUGAUGAGUUAUACAACUUUAAUAUUGAUGACUUUUUCAGUUAAAAUC